AUUGAACGCUGGCGGCAGGCCUAACACAUGCAAGUCGAACGAGCGGCGGACGGGUGAGUAAUGUCUGUGAAUCUGCCUGAUGGUGGGGGAUAACUACUGGAAACUGUAGCUCCUACCGCAUACCACCGGUUGUGCCCAGAUGGGUUUAGCUAGUAGGUGGGGUAAAGGCUCACCUAGGCGACGAUCCCGAACUGGUCUGAGAGGAUGACCAGCCAAAAUGGAACAGAGACACGGGCCAGAAUCCGACGGGAGGCAGCAGUGGGGAAGAUUGCACAAUGGGCGAAAGCCUGAAGCAACCAUGCCGCGUGUAGGGAGAAGGCCUUCGGGUUGUAAAGUACUUUCAGCGGGGAGGCGUUACCCGCAGAAGGAGCAACGGAUAACUCCGUGCCAGCAGCCGCGGUAAUAC
rnacentral:rRNA from 1 species